rnacentral:siRNA from 1 species
GGCAAUCAUCCUUGGUUAAGC